GCUGUAGUUGGUCCCAAGGGUUGGGCUGUUCGCCCAUUAAAGUGGUACGCGAGCUGGGUUCAGAACGUCGUGAGACAGUUCGGUCCCUAUCCGUCGCAGGCGUAGGAAAUUUGCGGAGAUCUGCCCCUAGUACGAGAGGACCGGGGUGGACAUACCUCUGGUGUACCAGUUGUCCUGCCAAGGGCAUAGCUGGGUAGCUAUGUAUGGAAAGAAUAAGCGCUGAAAGCAUCUAAGCGCGAAGUCCACUUCAAGAUAAGAUUUCCCACCGUAAGGUUAAGAUCCCAGGAAGACUACCUGGUUGAUAGGUCAAAGGUGUAAGUGCAGUAAUGUAUGUAGCUUAUUGAUACUAAUAGAUCGAGGACUUGACCAAUAA
rnacentral:rRNA from 1 species